CUCCUCCUCAUUUGUAAGUCGCUUUGGAUAAAAGCGUCUGCUAAAUGACAAUGU
rfam:Danio rerio chromosome 22, GRCz11 reference primary assembly.